rnacentral:rRNA from 1 species
ACGAGUUUGAUCAUGGCUCAGAUUGAACGCUGGCGGUAUGCUUAACACAUGCAAGUCGAACGGUAACAGGCCUUCGGGCGCUGACGAGUGGCGGACGGGUGAGUAACGCGUAGGAAUCUGCCUCAUAGUGGGGGACAACGUGGGGAAACUCACGCUAAUACCGCAUACGCCCGUACGGGGGAAAGCGGGGGAUCUUCGGACCUCGCGCUAUGAGAUGAGCCUGCGUUAGAUUAGCUAGUUGGUAGGGUAAAGGCCUACCAAGGCGACGAUCUAUAGCUGGUCUGAGAGGACGAUCAGCCACACUGGGACUGAGACACGGCCCAGACUCCUACGGGAGGCAGCAGUGGGGAAUAUUGGACAAUGGGCGCAAGCCUGAUCCAGCAAUACCGCGUGUGUGAAGAAGGCCCUAGGGUUGUAAAGCACUUUCAAUUGGGAGGAAAACCUGCCGGUCAAUACCCGGCAGCUUGACAUUACCUUUAGAAGAAGCACCGGCUAACUCCGUG